rnacentral:rRNA from 1 species
AGUGAACGCUGGCGGUAGGCCUAACACAUGCAAGUCGAACGGCAGCACAGUAAGAGCUUGCUCCUACGGGUGGCGAGUGGCGGACGGGUGAGGAAUACAUCGGAAUCUACUUUUUCGUGGGGGGUAACGUAGGGAAACUUACGCUAAUACCGCAUAUGACCUACGGGUGAAAGCAGGGGAUCUUCGGACCUUGCGCGAUUGAAUGAGCCGAUGUCGGAUUAGCUAGUUGGCGGGGUAAAGGCCCACCAAGGCGACGAUCCGUAGCUGGUCUGAGAGGAUGAUCAGCCACACUGGAACUGAGACACGGUCCAGACUCCUACGGGAGGCAGCAGUGGGGAAUAUUGGACAAUGGGCGCAAGCCUGAUCCAGCCAUACCGCGUGGGUGAAGAAGGCCUUCGGGUUGUAAAGCCCUUUUGUUGGGAAAGAAAAGCAGCAGGUUAAUACCCCGCUGUUCUGACGGUACCCAAAGAAUAAGCACCGGCUAACUUCGUG